rnacentral:rRNA from 1 species
GCUCGCAGGCGGUUUCUUAAGUCUGAUGUGAAAGCCCCCGGCUCAACCGGGGAGGGUCAUUGGAAACUGGGAAACUUGAGUGCAGAAGAGGAGAGUGGAAUUCCACGUGUAGCGGUGAAAUGCGUAGAGAUGUGGAGGAACACCAGUGGCGAAGGCGACUCUCUGGUCUGUAACUGACGCUGAGGAGCGAAAGCGUGGGGAGCGAACAGGAUUAGAUACCCUGGUAGUCCACGCCGUAAACGAUGAGUGCUAAGUGUUAGGGGGUUUCCGCCCCUUAGUGCUGCAGCUAACGCAUUAAGCACUCCGCCUGGGGAGUACGGUCGCAAGACUGAAACUCAAAGGAAUUGACGGGGGCCCGCACAAGCGGUGGAGCAUGUGGUUUAAUUCGAAGCAACGCGAAGAACCUUACCAGGUCUUGACAUCCUCUGACAACCCUAGAGAUAGGGCUUUCCCUUCGGGGACAGAGUGACAGGUGGUGCAUGGUUGUCGUCAGCUCGUGUCGUGAGAUGUUGGGUUAAGUCCCGCAACGAGCGCAACCCUUGAUCUUAGGUGCCAGCA